UGAGGCACGAAAGCGUGGGUAUCGAACAGGAUUAGAUACCCUGGUAGUCCACGCAGUAAACGAUGAAUACUAACUGUUUGCGAUACAAUGUAAGCGGUACAGCGAAAGCGUUAAGUAUUCCACCUGGGGAGUACGCCGGCAACGGUGAAACUCAAAGGAAUUGACGGGGGCCCGCACAAGCGGAGGAACAUGUGGUUUAAUUCGAUGAUACGCGAGGAACCUUACCCGGGCUUAAAUUGCAGAUGAAUUACGGUGAAAGCCGUAAGCCGCAAGGCAUCUGUGAAGGUGCUGCAUGGUUGUCGUCAGCUCGUGCCGUGAGGUGUCGGCUUAAGUGCCAUAACGAGCGCAACCCUUGUUGUCAGUUACUAACAGGUCAUGCUGAGGACUCUGACAAGACUGCCAUCGUAAGAUGUGAGGAAGGUGGGGAUGACGUCAAAUCAGCACGGCCCUUACGUCCGGGGCUACACACGUGUUACAAUGGGGGGUACAGAAGGCAGCUACCUGGCGACAGGAUGCUAAUCCCUAAAACCUCUCUCAGUUCGGAUUGGAGUCUGCAACCCGACUCCAUGAAGGCGGAGUCGCUAGUAAUCGCGGAUCAGCAACGCCGCGGUGAAUGCGUUCCCGGGCCUUGUACACCCCGCCCGUCAAGUCAUGAAAGUGGGUAGC
rnacentral:rRNA from 1 species